GACGAACGCUGGCGGCGUGCUUAACACAUGCAAGUCGAACGGAAAGGCCCUGCUUUUGUGGGGUGCUCGAGUGGCGAACGGGUGAGUAACACGUGAGUAGCCUGCCCUUGACUUUGGGAUAACUUCAGGAAACUGGGGCUAAUACCGGAUAGGAGCUCCUGCUGCAUGGUGGGGGUUGGAAAGUUUCGGCGGUUGGGGAUGGACUCGCGGCUUAUCAGCUUGUUGGUGGGGUAGUGGCUUACCAAGGCUUUGACGGGUAGCCGGCCUGAGAGGGUGACCGGCCACAUUGGGACUGAGAUACGGCACAGACUCCUACGGGAGGCAGCAGUGGGGAAUAUUGCACAAUGGGCGGAAGCCUGAUGCAGCAACGCCGCGUGCGGGAUGACGGCCUUCGGGUUGUAAACCGCUUUCGCCUGUGACGAAGCGUGAGUGACGGUAAUGGGUAAAGAAGCACCGGCUAACUACGUG
rnacentral:rRNA from 1 species